UGUUCUUUGCUACAUUAGUCAGUAGAGAACUUGAAUCCAAUAGGAGUUACCAGAAUUUCGAGAGUAGCGCUGAUAUGCUUUGAUACUUGAAGGACUACCAAUGGCGAAAGCAGGUAACUAGUUAGAGAUUGACACUGAGGUACGAAAGCGUAGGGAGCAAACAGAAUUAGAUACUCUGGUAGUCUACGCUGUAAACUAUGAGUGCUAGUAUUUUGUCAUACGAUGAGAUUCUUAGCAAACGCAAUAAGCACUCCGCCUGGGAAGUACAGUCACACGACAGAACACCAAAUGAUUAGACGGUCCCGAGGACCCGCAGUGAAGCAUGACACUUAAUGCGAUGACCAACAAG
rnacentral:ncRNA from 1 species